ACUCUAUCUUGCAACUCCCACCUUCCUAGAAGAUGUUACACAGCCAUGCUUUAGUGAGCUAUCAAUUAAGGGAAUAUAGCUACCCUAAGGAAGGUUCUACACCCACCCCACUUCCUUAGUGAUACACUACACCCUUCUAUGAAGCUUGCAACUGGAAUGUUUCUUGAGUUGCAGGGCUGGGUCCUCUGUGUGCAUGAAUUGUGAAGUGUGCCUGCAGUCCAGCCACGUCCUGAGCCCCCACACCAAGUGCAGAUGGAUUGGUUCUUUGGCCAUUACCUCCAAGAAAUUUACAACCUAAAGGAAACCAGUUGCAGCUUUGAGAGUGUCCUUCAAGUUAUACUUCGCACCCACCCAGAACACAGAGAUAACAGUGUUUACUAUCACUUUGUAAGUAUAACUUUCUGGAUGACUAAAGGGAAAAAACAUCGUGUAGAGCAACACUGCCAGGAAAUGGGAGCCCUCGCAUUCGAAGCCUGUGUUUGUUGCAAAUAUCCUGACUGACGUCUUUUGUGUGGCAGCUUGAGAAGAAGCUUGUUUUGUCACCCUUUUCAACUGCACUAUUGUCCAAGUCUGGAAAGAAACCGGGAUCUCAUCUGUGAAGAAAAAAAAGAUCCAUCUUAUAAGAAGAGAUGAAAUACAGUGAGGGCAAAAGCAGACUGGAAAUGAGUUUGCAGUGAGAAAGUACGUUUCCUGGAGGUCUUGUCAAAAUAAUCUUUAUCAACAAAGGACUAUUAAGUGCUAUGAGAUUUGAGCUUUUCAUCACUGUUAUUGUAGGUUCAGUGAGUCAAUAUUCAUUUCCCAAAAGUGAUGCUCUCCCUGACCUAUGGUUGCAAGGUGACCCUCUGCCCCUUGCUUCAAACAAAUUCAGCAGCUUUGCAGCACUCUGGAAGCAGCCAGCUCCUAACUCUGAGGCAUUUACCAGAAGCAGCAAAAUUCAAGGGGAGUUUUGCAACUCACCUGAGUGUUUGUGCUGGGUACUCUACCACAGCCACAGCACAGACUAGAGAGGCCUUCUGGAAUCAACAAGCCCCUUGUCUCUGUAAGUACUGCAGAUGUGCAAAGCCCCUCUAUGAAUUAAGAAACAAAGAUACAUUAAAAAAGAGAGAGAGAAGGAGAGGAAGAGAGAAAGAAAGAAACCAGUUUGUUGGCAUGUUAAUAGUAUUAAAUGUCAUUACAUUGUUGAACAUCACAGCUACUGAACUUGGACCGGAGCUCUCACCAGCUGAAACCAGUUAGUGACUGCAGGCUAAGGCAUCUGGGCAGGCCAGCACCAACUGGAAGUGCACUUAAAAUCCUUUGCCACCUUUUUAAUUUCCUAUCUGAGGGUUACAUCUAUGUUUCAGAUGACAAGGAAUGAGAAACCUACCUUCUGCAGCCUGCUGGCAGCAUAAAUGCACCUUUGCUGCCUCGAGAGACAAAAGUGAUGGGGACGUGGAACAUCUGCAGUCUGGAUGGAGGACUCUUCUCCCUGGAUUCCCUCCGUGGUGUUUUAUAGACUCUGCCAUGCCCAUGGAUGGUGGGUCAUGGUGUGUCAGAGAACGAUGCUGUCACACAGCUGGGUGAAGCAAAGGGGCUGCCCCUUUGUGUGUUAAUGUGAAAAAGCCCUUUUGCAGGAAGACAGAAAUGAGGAGGGACUGUGAAGCCAAUGAAAAAUAUUGUUUUUCUGUGGGUUUGUGUUGUUUUUGUAUUCUCCCAGGUGUCUCAUUAAAAAUGCAUUAAAAUGAGACAAUUAGCUGCUACAGAGAAUUUACUAUGCUGCUGCAUCAAAGUACUUUGGAGUACUUCAUAAAUACUGAGCUGAGUAAUUGUACCUAUCUCUACUGUCUGCCACAAAGGCAAUGGACAGAGGUGAGGGUCCUGGGAAGAUAUAGUCUUUAAUGAGGUAAGAAAAUGAAUGUCUAAGUAGAUUAAUUAUAAACAGCAUAUAUAAACUAAUGUAAUUAGCAGUGGCUUGACAGGCUUUUUUAUUAUUAUUUGCCACUUGCUUCCAUUCAGUUUUCUUCUGGUUGGUUGCAGCAUAGAUACCCUGAUGAUCAAAUAAGAAAAAGCAGAGGCAAUACCCACUCUAAAAAAACAUGUUCAAAAGCCCUUGUGCUUCUCAAACAUGGGAAAUGUGGACAUGUCAGCCAGAAACCACCACCUGACAGCUGCAGCUUCUUCCAUAGGUCUCCUCUGGCCUUGUUUCUUCUCCUAAUUCUGGAGCAGAAUUCAGGUCUCAGCUGCUCUCAGAACCAGAAGUAUCAAGACCAGCAUUUCCAUGUCAAACCUCCCAUGUACACACACAGCCAAUCCCAAUGUGUGUCACACUCACAUCAUGGAUGAUGUCCUCCCUGGGCACACGUGUGCUUGAUCCAUGCAGGCAGAGCCACCAAUGUGGAGUGCAGGACCUUUGCCUCUCCCUGCUCUAAGCAGUGUUUUAGCGCUUUUGCACAUCUGCAGCAUAUGCUGCUGCUUUUGCCUCUGCAGCUCUCUACUUCUGGGUGUGGAAAGGGGAGAAAGAAAUAGGAAAAGCAUUGUGGCGGAGUGGCAGGAGUGGAUUUCUGAUUAACUUUUUCACAGACUACAGUCUGAUUUGAGAACAUACCGGUUCCAGUUUUCAUAACAAUGCAUUUUCCCUUGACAAGUGCUGGUUUCAUUUUAUAUAGUUGUCUAAAUAGUUAUCACAUCUCUAGUGCUGCUAGCCAGAAACGACUCCCCGGUGUGCCAGAUCCAGACCUUCCAGUAAUUUGUGUAUGUAAAUCCAGAUUAUUAUCAGGUUCACACGUAACAAAAUGAAAGAGCAGAUACAAAUGAUCUGCAUAGAAAUCUCCAUGAGAUAUUCACAUGUGGAAAAUUAAUGUUUCUCGUUUGUAUAAAUGUCUGAACAUGUAAGAUCUAUCAAUCAAUCUCUCUCGUACCCGUACAGCUCAGAAGCAUGUGGCAGUGAGUCCUAACGUCGUCUUCCAUGAUUACCACGUGAUUGCUGACAGAAGCUGAUCAGAACUGAGAACUGCUAUGAUCAGUUUUUUGCCACUGUGAGUCUAAAAUGUCCUUUUUUCCCCUCUUUUCCUGCUACGAAUUUUACUUGUGUAACAGUCAACUUAACUACAGUGAUCUGGGAAUUAACAGCCAAGGACUAUUCAGUGCUGCAUGUUGCUUAAUGCAAUUAGCAAAAUUAAUAAAAUGUUGGACAGGUGCCUCAUACCAGGGGAAAAAAGGCAUUGUUCUCACUUGCUUAGGAUCAAACAGUGACAUUACCUUAUUUCCUUCAAGAAAGAAAGAAUUAAAAUGUAAUGAAUUCCAGUUACCCUGGAAUAUGUGAGGAACAAGUUGAAGUCAGCUCUGACUGUAACAGAAGCUAAAACAGAAUUCACUGUUCCUCCUCCCUUUGACAAAGCUCAUCUUUGGAAGUCAUACACUCAACAGUUUAACAUCUGGAAAGAUGUUAGCAAAUGAGUCGGUGAGAGGCAGGUGAAAAAUACUGAUGUGUAGAACUGUGGGGAGAAGGUCUUCAUACUCCUGCUGGAAGGUCCAUGAAGCGUAAGAAAAGCAAGGAUGUUGUCAGUAAGGUAAGCAUGCUAAUCUUCUUGUGUCAUUCUGAGACAGUCAUUUUCAGUCCACAGUGGUCCUGUUGGUGCUGCUGCUGAAUAUAACGUGGGUGACUUAUUGAGGGCCUGGGCUGGGAAGCUGGCCUUUGCUCACAGGACUGUAGCCACCCUGGGCUAGGAAAGUUCCCUAAUCCUGCUUAUCUGGAGUAUUUACACUCCUCAUAGCACCCAAGUGUCAGCAGGUACGGGGCAGCCACGUUUCAACUCUGAUUCAGCCAGGGAAAGCAGUCAGGUCCAGGGCCUGUAGUGACUGGAAAUCAUAACCUGGGGUUGGCUGCGUGUGCUCUGCAAGAUGAUUUGGUGGGCCUGAUCCAUUUUCCCCACAUACACACAUCAAACACCCACACAUCUGGCUUGUAUUAGCGUGCCCUCGUUGGCAAUUGCUCUAAUGACAAACUCAUCUGGGAAGAACUGGAGCGUCUGAACCAGCUGCAGCUUAUCCAGCCUAUGGAGAGCGCAGGUAGAGUGAGGGAGCAGCAGAGGACCUGGGCUGUUCUGCUCAGCCAGCUCUGGGCAUCCUACGGGCCAACCUGACAAGGUGCUGUGCUUCCAGAGGAUAGCACUUCUUAAGCAUUUGCAGUAACCUUUUGCUUGUAAAUCUGAGAUGCUGUGCCCUCUUUUUCUACACCUUGCCCAUUUAUUUUGCUUUUUCAAGGACGUAUGGUUA